rnacentral:lncRNA from 10 species
UUUGUUCCUUAAUUUGGGAAUACAUGAACUACACCUAUUGACUCAAUCUUUGAUAGAAAUUGAUGAAAUAUUGUGACUUUAAAAAAAAUUAUCAUUGCUUCCUUCAUCCUGUUGUUGGGGGCGUCUCCAGAAUGUUGGAUCCUAGGCUACAGAGAGAGGGGUGAACAUAGUGUGAUCCCACCUUCGCAGCUCCCACAGUGUAUGGGGAACAAAAACAAAGAAAGUAGCAGAAAGAGGCAGAAGUGAGGUCCUAGGGCAACCAAGAGUCAAUUCAUUUGCUCUGGAAAAAGGCCAAGGCAAGUCAGGAAGAAGUUGGAGAGUGGCUAGAGUUAGGCACGUAGUCUCCAGCUCCCCUGACAUUGCCAGUUCGGCUCACUACAAGGAGGGCAGCAGCAGAUCCAAUCUCACCUCUCCAGCUUCUGGGAAGAAGACACUACUCUCUCAGAAAAUGGAGUCUACCUGCUUCCACCUGAGAGCUAAAGAACCUUCUCUUUGAUCAAGCUGAGUUCCAGAGUUCCAAGUUUCCCAGGAUUCAGAGAUCCCUGGCCCAGCUGUGAUAUGCAGUCUCAAAACACAAAACAUCUGGAGAGAUGAUAUGAACAGUUCAUCUUUCCCUAUUUAUAUUUGAAGGCUAAGGCAAUGUUUAUGGAAUAAAGAAUUUGUUUAAAUGAAUGUCUGAACAUUAUGAAUUCCUUGUUAUACUUUAUCUGGCUUCACAAUUGAUGUAGUGAACCAAGAUCUCUCUAUACAUAUACUCACAUGCAUACACAUACACAUAGGCUUAUAGUCAUAAAGCUAUAUAGUCAUAUAUACAUGUAUCUAUAUAUCAAAAAAGAGAUUGUUAUUUUUCUUUAUGUACCUAGGGAAAUCCCUGAACCUAUUAAGGCCACUAUAUUCAUUUCUCUAAAGUCUAAAAGCAGACUGGAAGGAUGGAAUAUGAGUAUAACACGAAAGUAAUAUUUUUCACAAAGUCAUGGCUAUUAAGAACCUUAUAGUCUUUGAGUGGAGUGUAUAAUUUGAAAUUAAAGUUUCAUAACUGAGUAUCCUUCUUUUUAGAAGAAAAAUGUUCUCAUAAAUCUGUUACCCAAAAUGCUUUUGAAAGAAAAUUUACCAUUUUCUUCAACUUUAAAAUCAUACUUGCAAGGGAAGCUCUGUGCAGAGAUGUUUGGCAUAAAUAUGAAUGACAAUAUAUAAAAACUAUUACCACACUACUAAAAAAUGUUGGGCAGCUUUGACCUGGUUAUUUGAUUGAACUUUCUGAAUCUGAUUUGUCAACUGAAGACAAGUAAAAGUUUUUUUACAAAUUCUAUCCUUAGCCUCUCAAUUAAUCUCAAAUAUUUGUUCAGAGAAAUAAUUGAAAAUUCUGACUGUAUCCUGACUGAAAUGUGGAUCACUGGGGGCCUCAAAGCUUCAGUGUGUUUAGUUCCCUAUGGUUUUGAGGCACAUGCCCUAUGUGAACCUUUUGAAGGACAGAAAAAUUCAUAACUGACUAGCAAUUGGUUAACUUUAGUUAAAAAGUGAAACACCUACUCUAGUGGUGCAAAAGAUGUCUGCAAAGGGCAAAAUCUUCAGCUUUGAAAGGCAUUCAGCAAUGUCAAUAGACUAGCACUUGAGAGUCACCUAAAAUUUAUUUGUAUUACUUUUCACCCAAUUUUAAAGAAGAAUAUUUCUAAGAUAAAAGCUUAAAACUUUUUAAUUAAAAAAAAAAAACUAAACUCAGUACUCCUAAGCCUUCAUAGAUAUAUACUUCAGUAUCUUGCAUGACAUUGAAAGCUCUAAUAACCAAAUUCUUUCCUGACUCCUAAUUAUGUGUCCUUGUUCUUCUGUUUAAAGUAACAUUUUGUGUCUAUUUGUGUAUAUGCAUGUGUACACAUUUGUGUGAGUUCACAAAUGAUUACUCUGAUGAAUGUUAAUUUAUAUCAAUCUAACCAAAAUAAAAUUAGAGAAAUCUUAUUUUGUUUUUUCAUUUAAAGUUUUAAAUUAGAAAAAUCUAAUUUU